UACGAAGGGGGCUAGCGUUGUUCGGAAUCACUGGGCGUAAAGGGCGCGUAGGCGGCCGUUCAAGUCGGGGGUGAAAGCCUGUGGCUCAACCACAGAAUUGCCUUCGAUACUGUUCGGCUCGAGACCGGAAGAGGUUGGUGGAACUGCGAGUGUAGAGGUGAAAUUCGUAGAUAUUCGCAAGGACACCAGUGGCGAAGGCGGCUCACUGGCCCGAUACUGACGCUGAGGCACGAAAGCGUGGGGAGCAAACAGG
rnacentral:rRNA from 1 species